rnacentral:tRNA from 1 species
GGUAAGAUGGCUGAGAAUAGGCAAUAAGCUGUAAACUUAUUUAUGAAUUAUAUUCUUUUACC